rnacentral:rRNA from 1 species
UACGUAGGGUGCAAGCGUUAAUCGGGAUUACUGGGCGUAAAGCGUGCGCAGGCGGUGAUGUAAGACAGGUGUGAAAUCCCCGGGCUCAACCUGGGAACUGCAUUUGUGACUGUAGAGCUGGAGUGCGGCAGAGGGGGAUGGAAUUCCGCGUGUAGCAGUGAAAUGCGUAGAUAUGCGGAGGAACACCGAUGGCGAAGGCAAUCCCCUGGGCCUGCACUGACGCUCAUGCACGAAAGCGUGGGGAGCAAACAGG